UGGGGAAUAUUGGACAAUGGGCGCAAGCCUGAUCCAGCCAUGCCGCGUGAGUGACGAAGGCCUUAGGGUUGUAAAGCUCUUUUCAGACGGAAAGAAACGGUCACGGCCAAUACCCGUGACUAAUGACGGUACCGUCAGAAGAAGCACCGGCUAACUACGUGCCAGCAGCCGCGGUAAUACGUAGGGUGCGAGCGUUAAUCGGAAUUACUGGGCGUAAAGCGUGCGCAGGCGGUUUGGUAAGUCAGACGUGAAAUCCCCCGGCUUAACCUGGGAACUGCGUCUGAUACUGGAGGGCUUGAGUAUGGGAGAGGGAUGUAGAAUUCCAGGUGUAGCGGUGAAAUGCGUAGAUAUCUGGAGGAAUACCGGUGGCGAAGGCGGCAUCCUGGACCAUUACUGACGCUGAGGCGCGAAAGCUAGGGGAGCAAACAGGAUUAGAUACCCCCGUAGUCCCUGAGCGGGCUGGCAAGGCGCAU
rnacentral:rRNA from 1 species